rnacentral:rRNA from 1 species
GACGAACGUUGGUGGCGUGCUUAACACAUGCAAGUCGAACGGAAAGGCCCUUCUUGCAGGGUACUCGAGUGGCGAACUGGUGAGUAACACGUGGGUUAUCUGCCCUUCACUUCGGGAUAAGCCUGGGCAACUGGGUCUAAUACCGGCUAGGUUCCUUUUUUAUUUUGAUGGUUGGUAAGUUUUUUCGGUGUAGGAUGAGCUCGCGGCCUAUCAGCUUGUUGGUGGGGUAAUGGCCUACCAAGGCGGCGACGGGUAGCCGGCGUGAGAGGGUGGACGGCCACAUUGGGACUGAGAUACGGCCCAGACUCCUACGGGAGGCAGCAGUGGGGAAUAUUGCACAAUGGGCGCAAGCCUGAUGCAGCGACGCCGCGUGGGGGAUGACGGCCUUCGGGUUGUAAACUCCUUUCGCGAGGGACGAAGCAUUUUGUGAAGGUACAUAGAUAAGAAGCACCGGCUAACUACGUG